UAAGGGAAUCUUCCACAAUGGGCGCAAGCCUGAUGGAGCAACGCCGCGUGAGUGAAGAAGGUCUUCGGAUCGUAAAACUCUGUUGUUAGAGAAGAACAUGCAGGAGAGUAACUGUUCUUGUAUUGACGGUAUCUAACCAGAAAGCCACGGCUAACUACGUGCCCAG
rnacentral:rRNA from 1 species